rnacentral:rRNA from 1 species
GGCGGACGGGUGAGUAAUAUAUAGUUAACCUGCCCUCGAGAAAGGAAUAACAGUUGGAAACGACUGCUAAUGCCCUAUAUGCCUUUAAGACAUAAGUCUGCAAGGGAAAUGCUUUAGUGCUCGAGGAUGGGACUGUACGGUAUCAGAUAGUUGGUGGGGUAAUGGCCUACCAAGUCAAUGACGCCUAACUGGUUUGAGAGGAUGAUCAGUCACACUGGAACUGAGACACGGUCCAGACUCCUACGGGAGGCAGCAGUGGGGAAUAUUGCACAAUGGAGGAAACUCUGAUGCAGCAACGCCGCGUGGAGGAUGACACAUUUCGGUGCGUAAACUCCUUUUAUAUAGGAAGAUAAUGACGGUACUAUAUGAAUAAGCGCCGGCUAACUCCGUGCCAGCAGCCGCGGUAAUACGGAGGGCGCAAGCGUUACUCGGAAUCACUGGGCGUAAAGAGCGUGUAGGCGGAUAGAUAAGUCAGAAGUGAAAUCCUAUGGCUCAACCAUAGAACUGCUUUUGAAACUGUUUAUCUAGAGUGUGGGAGAGGUAGAUGGAAUUUCUGGUGUAGGGGUAAAAUCCGUAGAGAUCAGAAGGAAUACCGAUUGCGAAGGCGAUCUACUGGAACAUAACUGACGCUGAGACGCGAAAGCGUGGGGAGCAAACAGGAUUAGAUACCCUGGUAGUCCACGCCCUAAACGAUGUUCACUAGUUGUUGUGAGGCUUGACCUUGCAGUAAUGCAGUUAACACAUUAAGU